rfam:Trypanosoma cruzi strain Silvio kinetoplast maxicircle, partial sequence.
AUUAAACUUAAGUCUAUUGUUAUUAUUCAUAUUAAUUUUUUUAAAAGUUUUUAAGUUUUAUGCUAGUUUAUUUUAAAAUAAUUUUAUUUGUCAUAUUUUAGGAAUAGAUAAUAAUAAUUUAUAAUUUUGAUUAGAUGUAUUUGUUAAUGCUAUUUAAUGGGUGUGGAAAUAUGUAUAAAAUUUAAUAAAAUAUUAUUACAAUAAAUUACAUUUACAUAUUAGUCAGAAAUGGAUGCCAGCCGUUGCGGUAAUUUCUAUGCUUUUAAAUAUUAUACAUUUAUCAUAAAAUAUUGUUAUUUUUAUACUUUAACAAAAAAAAUAAAAGCAACAUAUCUUUUUUGUUUUUAAACACCUUUUGGUAUAUGCAAAUACGAAAUUAUAGUAAUUAUAUAUUAUAUUAUAUUAUAUUUAUUCAUAUAAUUAACGCAUAAAAAGUAAUUAAAUUUGAUACCAUGCUAAGGCAAAAAUAUUGAAAUUGUAAAUGUUAUAAUCAAAAGUUACUAUUUAUAUAAAAUUCUAAAUUUUAGAUAAAAUAAUAAAUUCAAAAGGUAUUGUUGCCCACCAAUUUUUAUAAUAAAAAUAACGUGCAGUAAUCAAUAUAUUUAUAAAAAUAUAUUUUAUAAAAAU